GACGAACGCUGGCGGCGUGCCUAACACAUGCAAGUCGAGCGGGGACAUUGCGACAGAUAUGAAGUCUUCGGAUGAAUUUGAAGAUGUAAUGUUCUAGCGGCGGACGGGUGAGUAACGCGUGAGCAACCUGUCCCUUACAGGGGGAUAACACAGCGAAAGUUGUACUAAUACCGCAUAAGACCACAGAGCGACAUCGCUUAGGGGUCAAAGGAGCAAUCCGGUAAGGGGUGGGCUCGCGUCCGAUUAGAUAGUUGGUGAGGUAACGGCCCACCAAGUCGACGAUCGGUAGCCGACCUGAGAGGGUGAUCGGCCACAUUGGGACUGAGACACGGCCCAAACUCCUACGGGAGGCAGCAGUGGGGAAUAUUGGGCAAUGGGGGAAACCCUGACCCAGCAACGCCGCGUGAGGGAAGAAGGUUUUCGGAUCGUAAACCUCUGUCCUUGGUGAAGAGAAAGAGACGUA
rnacentral:rRNA from 1 species